rnacentral:rRNA from 1 species
UACGUAGGGGGCAAGCGUUGUCCGGAAUUACUGGGCGUAAAGGGCUCGUAGGCGGCCAACUAAGUCGGACGUGAAAUCCCUCGGCUCAACCGGGGAACUGCGUCCGAUACUGGAUGGCUUGAGUUCGGGAGAGGGAUGCGGAAUUCCUGGUGUAGCGGUGAAAUGCGCAGAUAUCAGGAGGAACACCGGUGGCGAAGGCGGGUCUCUGGGCAUUAACUGACGCUGAGGAGCGAAAGCAUGGGGAGCGAACAGG